rnacentral:lncRNA from 1 species
GGAGGAGGGACCAGGAGGAGGAGGAGGAGGAAUCGGGAGGAGCAAAGGAGGAGCAGAAUGCUAGGAGGAGGGAGGAAGAGCCAGCAGCUAGGACCGCAGGCAGGCAGUGACUAGGCGGUGGGGACAGCGGUGGCCCCCGUGGGCCCGAGCGCUCGGUGAGGGCCGGUGCAGGGGGGCGUGCCGGAGCUGAGGGUGCCUUUAAGAGUUCAUUUCCGCGUGAGGCGUUCCCUGCGCUGUUCCUCAGGACCUGGUCCUCAAGAACUUGCCCUGCUCUCUCGGAGACCCAGCCUCCGUCGAGCCUCAUUUAUACAGGGUUCCCAUUUCCCCGCUUCCUCCCUUAAACUUUUAGAGCAAACUUGUACCAGCUCUGGGGAAACUAGCUGAGCCUUAGGCCCACAGCCGGAAAAUGGCAAGGAAGAGGAAACCACCCAUUUAUUCUGGCCCCAAACUUCUCUGCAGCACCCCGGGAUCCUAAGUGGGGGUCAGAGGCUGGCCUGGCAGCCAAGUCGUUCCUCGCCAUGCCAGGCGUCUGAGAUGGUGCUCUCAGGUACGAGGGUCCUUCAGAUCCCGUCAAGUACCCUCGAAGAAAUCGUCUGAAAUGAGGACACCCAACUCCUGGCACAGAGACUAGCCUUGGGAAAUGUUUGUUGAAUGAAUGCAUGAGUACCAAGGGAAGCCACAGCGUUUCACAUGCCAGGAAUCAUCCAGGGGUACUUGAAAAGCAAAUCCACUAGUGGCAAUCAGGCAGGUUCAGCAGCGCUGGUCUCUCGGCUGCUGAAACAAGGAUCACAAACCUGCAGGAAGUGGAGUUAAGGCUGGGACCUUUCCUGUCCAUGGAGGAAAGAAACUGUGCAUCCUUCCUUCCCAUCCAGCAAGUGCAGGGCACAGGGCUCCUCACCAUCCACAGAACCGGAAGGUUAGCUCUGAGCUAACAUCUGCCACCAAUCCUUCUCUGUUUGCUGAGGAAGAUUGGCCCUGAGCUAACAUCUGUGUUCAUCUUCCUCUAUUUUGCAUGUGGGAUGCCUGCCACAGCAUGGCUUGAUAAGCAGUAUGUAUGUCCGUGCCCAGGAUCCGAACUGGUGAAACUGGGCUGCCAUACUGGAGCACGCAAACUCAGUUGCUGUGCCACCGAGCCGGCCCCCUAACUACUUUUUAGUAAUAGACAGCACCAACCUUCAUAGUGCUGUCAUGUUAUAACAUCCUUCCAUAUUAUCUGAUGGCAUCUCAAGAAGCAGAGUUUUGUGAAAACCAAGGAGGCAGUGUGACACUUCAGGCACACAACCCAAUACGUGGUUGAUCCCAGUGAAGGGAGAGGAAUGGGUGAACUCAAGAUCCUCCUGAGACAGCUGUGUAAAGUUUGAGUUUCUGCUCUGAGCUUGUGAUGUGGGGGAUGGCAUUCAGGAUGAUUUUGUACUCUUUGGCAGGUACACGGAGUGUACUGAUAGCUGUUGCUUGCUAAGUAAAAACCUAUGGCCCAGCCGGCAGAAAUGACAUCCUCUUGAGAAAACAGAGACUUUUCUAGACUGAGCCCUGCAAAGAGGGUGCUCGGGCACCCAGUCUCUGCAGAGAGUGAUCCCAGGUCACAUCCCAGGCCACAUCUCAGGCAAAGGCUGCCACCACAGGAACAGCUCAAGGAGCCCUGACUGCAUGCUACUAGGUACUGAUCAGAAAUGAGCUUGUCUGACCACCCAGAGCCAGGUUACACUUUUGUCUGCCUUUUAUAACAAGAUGAUGCUAUGGCUUGGAAGAGUUAAAUAAAUCACUUGCCCAAAGUCCCAAAGCAUGCUUGCUAGCAUGAGGCCUUCCUUGAACCCACAUCUAAGCCAUGUUCUACAUCACUCUCAUUCUGCAACUUUUCUAAACCUGAGACCAAUAGAGACUUCAGGACCUCAAAUUCUAUUUCAGAAUAUCUUGGAAACUUUUUGCAGUAGGUACAACCAAAAUUUCUACUUGGCCAAAAGCUUCCUGGAUAAGGCUUCAAUGUACACCAUAUUAGCAAGUAUAUACUGAGACUGUAGUAUUUCCCACAUUAACUCUCACGUGGUUUAUCAAUUUUCAUAACACAAGCUGUGCAUUCUCUUUGCCAGCUACAAAUGGGAAACUUUUUUUCCUCCUCUGAUGAGGAGUUUUCCUCUUUAAGAGGCUUCUGAGUAUUUUAAAUGAGUUUAAUCUUUUCUAGAAGGAACACGGCAGUGAAUUUCCAGAAAUCACAUAUCCUGUGGAAAGGGAGGAGAGACGGGUUAUUUUGCAGGGUGAAGAUAGGAAGGCUUCAAAUAUUUUGAGUUCCAUCUUAGGCAAGAGGCAUUUGACCACCUGUUUUCUCUCGCCUGAGGUCAAAGCAAGGAUUAAAGAGGAAAAACAUGAGAGUGGCAGAUUUCAGAAUUUAAAAAAUUAUCUUUUAUAAACUAUUGGAGCUAUCUAAAAGUGGAAUGAGCUGCCUCUGAACGGAAUGGGUUUCUCCAUCGUUAGAAAGAUUUGUACGCAGGAGCAGUGCUAAAGGGGGCUGUGAAUUAAGGACUGAACCAGAUCCCUUCCAAUCCUAAAAUUCCAUGAGAACAUGCAUUUCUAAAACAGCCUUCCAUUUCAACAUACAUGCACUCACAGCUCUUCUAAAGAUACAUUUUAAGAAGACACAAGACUGUGGUAACAGGAUUGCCACUGGGGACGGAGGGUAAUUAGGUAGCUAGGGGUUGGAGGGAGACAUUUUUCAACUGUCUGUCCUUUUAUACUUGCAAUCUUGCAUUGUGAACAGGCAUGACCUAUUUCUGUAAGGUGAGGGUCAGUGACCUCAGAAGGUGCCCCUGCUGAGGUUCCUGGGCACUCCUGGUAGCAGACUUUCUUGGUUUCCUUGGCCAUUUGCUCUCUCCCUUUGAGUCAAGUUGAGUUAUUUGCAUUAGACUCUGAGUUGAGACCUAUCUCUGGCAGAGUAUGGAAGAAACAACUUCUUUUUCAGGGAUAAUAUGCUGACACAAAACUGCUUGAGACAUUCAUUUGUCAUUAGUAUUCUUAUUAGUAUUAUAUGUCAUUUGUAUUUUUCAUUAUCUCUAGGGCUAAGGGUUAUGUAAUGCCUAAAAAACAGGAUCUCAUUUUUGAACACUAGUUUCUGGCAUUGUUAAUUUCCUUCAUACAGGGAUCUUGUAGGAAAUUUCUGGGCACUGCACAAAUCUUUGCCUAUGUUAAAGAUUUAAAACAGAUUAAAUAAUUUUGUCCAAGGUGUCACUGCUUGUCUCAGGGGUAGUUUUAACUAGAAAUAUUAGCCUUAAGCUUGCAACUGGUGGUUUGCAGAUCAAGUUUAGUAUAAAGAUGUGGUUUUGUGGGGCCCAUUCAAUAUUUCUUUUAAUUGAAUUAAUGGCAUCAUUUAAAAAUCAGGAGAUUUCAUAUUUAAAAUAUGAUUUUAAAUUUUGUAUUUCUCUUGAAAAAUGGGAAGUGCUGGCCAACUGGGCUUGCUUUCAUGCAAAAUGGCAGUUGGCUGGGUGAUAAGUGUCCCCUUUAGAAAGGACAUUAAGUCUCCAGCUCUCACUGACAUGACCAAGCCUGAUUCACCAGUUCAUGGGGCCUGCAUGGUUACUGUAGGCAUUAAAGUUUGCAGCCUCACCCUUCCUGGUUAAAUAAUGCUACUGCCACUUUAUAGAUAUGAUUCUCAUCUCUGGUUUUCCUCUGGCCCUUAUCUUCCUUUCUCUAUCCAACUCAUUCUUGCUCAUUUCAUAUGUAUUUGUUGAUAGAUUAUGGUCCAGAGAUCAUAAUACAUUAUGUAUCAUGAUAGACCUCACUUCAAAUUAGCAUAUUUCAAAUAUAGAAUAAUAGAAAAGCACAAAUGUUUACCACAGCUCAUGAUUAUACUUUAUCAUUAUUAUGGUUAACAUUCUAUAGGCAUAUAUAUACACAUAUGUAUAGACAUAUAUAUAUAUACACACACAAAACCAAUUAAAAAUUACUGGGGACAAAUGCAGUUCUGUUGAAGAACAGAGAAAGAAGAGGCUACCUGUCAAUGUCUGGUGCACGUGCAGUGAUCGUUCACUGUUAGCUGCCCACGAGCUUGCAUUGGAGGGAAUCAGGAUGGGAGGUGGAGGAUUAGGAAGUUGACUGGACUAAAUAUCAUUGCUUAUCUUGCAAAUCAUCAAGUUUUGUCUGGCUUGUUUUUCUAUAAUAAACUAAUACAUGAUAGAAUGUGUGUUUUAUUAGGAAAUAACUAAAGAGACAUUUUUAGGUAUUUUAGCUGUUUGUAAUUUAGUUGUUAUAAUUAUGUCUCACCUCAUGUAAUAAAGGUGAUAUGGCAAAGACCUACUGUCAAGCUUAUAUUCUAAACAGGAAUUCAGGAACUUCUUAAAUUGAGAGAUAGUUAUGUCACUUUAUUUUUCCUCAUAAGGACUAUAGAUGCAGAGAAUAAACGUUUCAUCUGUACUAUAGAAGGAAAGAAAUCCUUUUUGAGGAAGUCACCAGAAGUUAGAUUCCAAGUGCAUUUUUAGAUGGUGGCAGCCCUGGAGGAUCUGCAAGGGGGAGAAUAUUGCAGCUUAAAAUGAUCAACAGGGCUAGAGAAAUCCAAAGUAAAUUGGUUUUCUGUUUCUGCAAUUGAAAAAAGUUAGAAAUUCUUGCAGUUGAUGAUUUUGAAGAACUGAGCCACAAGAAAGCCUGAGUCAUUGAAACUUCCAUCAGAGAGAGUCCUCAGAGAUAGGCCCUGCUAUUUUACAGAAGACCGCGUAAGAACCUUGUCCAAAUGAAUUGUUUCAGGAAGAGAGAGAAUUAAUGAAUAAUGUUUUAUUAAUUAAAUAAAACAUAGGAGUUUUCAGGGUUGUUAGUUAUUUUAUUAAAAUUCAAGUUGGAAUAAAUGGCAUUUACUCAACUCUUACUUAUUGUGUCUAAAGUGGCUGGGAGACAGAGGUCAGUUACCAGUUCCUGGCCUCAUAGAACUUCUCGUCACCCUGUUAAAGAUCACCCAGACUAAUCAGAUGUGUGUGUGUGUGUGUGUGUG